GAUGAACGCUAGCGGCAGGCUUAAUACAUGCAAGUCGAGGGGCAGCACGUCUUCGGAUGGUGGCGACCGGCAAACGGGUGCGGAACACGUACAUAACCAACCCCGCCCCGGAGGAUAGCCCGGUGAAAACCGGAUUAAUACUCCAUAGUAUAUUGAAACUGCAUGGUUUUAAUAUUAAACAUAAGGGGGCGAGACGGAUGUGCGUAUGAUUAGUUAGUUGGCGGGGUAACGGCCCACCAAGACCACGAUCAUUAGCUGAUGUGAGAGCAUGAUCAGCCACAUGGGCACUGAGACACGGGCCCAACUCCUACGGGAGGCAGCAGUAAGGAAUAUUGGUCAAUGGAUGGAAGUCUGAACCAGCCAUGCCGCGUGAAGGAUGAAGGUCCUCUGGAUUGUAAACUUCUUUUAUCUGGGGCGAAAACCAUCUUUUCUAAGAUAUUUGACAGUACCAGAAGAAUAAGCACCGGCUAACUCCGUGCCAGCCGCCGCGGUAACAC
rnacentral:rRNA from 1 species